GAUGAACGCUGGCGGCGUGCCUAAUACAUGCAAGUCGAACGAACAGCCACUGAGUUCUUUCCUCUGGUCAUGGUGAGUGACGAACGGGUGACUAACACGUAGGUAACCUAUCUCAUUGUGGUGGCUACCAGUCGGAAACGCUAGCUCAUACUGCUUAGUACAUAUGCUUACAUGAUCCAUUAAGGACAGGUUGCCUAUCCUUUCUCUAUGAGUUGGACCCGCGGUGCAUUAGCUAGUUGGUAGGGUAAAGGCAUACCAAGGCUACGAUGCAUAGCCGACCUGAGAGGGUGAUCGGCCACAAUGGGACUGAGACACGGCCCAAACUCCUACGGGAGGCGGCAGUAGGGAAUCUUCCGCAAUGGGCGAAAGUCUGACGGAGCAACGCCGCGUGAGUGAAGAAGGUCUUCGGAUCGUAAAGCUCUGUUGUUAGAGAAGAACAGAGGAUAAAGUAACUGCGAAGCGUGUGACGGUAUCUAACCAGAAAGCCACGGCUAACUACGUG
rnacentral:rRNA from 1 species